rnacentral:rRNA from 1 species
GACGUAGGGGGCAAGCGUUGUUCGGAAUUAUUGGGCGUAAAGCGCACGUAGGCGGUUUCUUAAGUCGGGGGUGAAAUCCUGGAGCUCAACUCCAGAACUGCCUUCGAUACUGGGAAACUUGAGUCCGGGAGAGGUGAGUGGAACUGCGAGUGUAGAGGUGAAAUUCGUAGAUAUUCGCAAGAACACCAGUGGCGAAGGCGGCUCACUGGCCCGGUACUGACGCUGAGGUGCGAAAGCGUGGGGAGCAAACAGG